rnacentral:rRNA from 1 species
UACGGAAGGCAGCAGUGGGGAAUAUUGCACAAUGGGCGAAAGCCUGAUGCAGCUAUGCCGCGUGUAUGAAGAAGGCCUUAGGGUUGUAAAGUACUUUCAUCGGGGAGGAAAAAAACAAAAACUAAUAAUUUUAUUUCUUGACGUUACCCGAAAAAGAAGCACCGGCUAACUCCGUGCCAGCAGCCGCGGUAAUACGGAGGGUGCUAGCGUUAAUCAGAAUUACUGGGCGUAAAGAGCACGUAGGUGGUUUUUUUAAAGUUCAGAUGUGAAAUCCCUGGGCUUAACCUAGGAACUGCAUUUUGAAACUGAAAUACUAGAGUAUCGUAGAGGGAGGUAGAAUUCUAGGUGUAGCGGUGAAAUGCGUAGAUAUCUGGAGGAAUACCGGUGGCGAAGGCGGCCCCUGGACAAAGACUGACGCUCAUGUGCGAAAGCGUGGGGAGCAAACAGGGAUUAGAUACC